ACUGCCCUGGCCAUGCUGCUCACACCGUGCCAGCUCCAGCCCAGGUGCCAUUGGUCUUCUUGCCCACCUGGGCUUUGCCCAAAGCAGCACCCCCAGGUCCUUUCCAGCCACCCUGGCUGCAGCACCUUGUCCCUCCUUGCGCUGGACAGCUUUUCCUCAGAGAACACAGGGACAGGAACUUGUUGGAGCUUUUUUUCCUGCUGCUCAGCGCUGGUAAGGACUGGAUGCAAAGAACUCAUCAAAGAGGUUUAAUAUACAGAGUUCCUGGCUCUGCUUUCUGCUCUCUGGGGCCCAGCAGGGUCUGUGACAUCCCCAGGCUGUCCCUUGCCUGUGGUUUCCCUUGCAGAGCCAGCAUUUAGCAAAACUCCUGUAACAGCCUUUAUGCUCUUAACCCAAUUUCCUUCCAAACUGCCAUAUGCUGUGAGCUUUGGGAGGGAUUGAGAACAUGAGAAGGCUGCUCUUUUAAAUCCCACAGAAAGGAGGAAAAGUGGCAUUCUGAGUGCCUGCAGGCAAGGAAUAGAGAAGUCUCAUAUGGGUUUUGGGGCAGGAAAACCCCUGUGCCCUCACCAAACUGAAUCCUGCCCUCCCCAGCAAGCAGUUUUGCUAAUCACAGAAAAUGUGAGGGAAGCCUCACUUGCUGUUUUGCUGUCACGUUGGGUGAUGCUCUGAGAUGCUGCUGGAACUUGUGAAGAAAUGAGACCAUGCAGAGGGUGAUGAGCUCCAGAGAAGAACCAGAUGCUGCAGAGAUGGAGCUGAGCCUCCUGCUGAGUAACCACUUCCCUCCCUGCCAGUGGGAGAUCUCUCCCAGCUGUUUGGGAGGCUUUUGGAAGGUGCUGAGCCAGCCAGGUGCUGUCUUCUGAAUCACUGCUGUGGCAUGUGACUGGAGUUAGUGUUUAACUGGGGAGUUAAAGCCCUUAGAUUGGGCAAGGUGGUUUGGUGGCAGUGUGUGUGUGCUGUCCCUCAGACUGGAUCAGCACGUCAGGCUCUGGUGGCUGCCACAUGGAGCUGAGCCCUGCCUGGGCCAGGAAAGGGAGCAGUGCCCUGUGGCCAGAACGCCUCCAUAUGGAUCAGAAAGAAGAGUCUGUCUCCAUAGCUCUGGGUGGACUUUGUGCAAUGAAGCUGAAACGCCAGAAGGUAGGAUUUUGUGUGUUUGUACAGAAGGGCUGUGCCCAGUGCUUUAAAAGAUUAAAACUGGACAUAUUUUUUUCAUGUGGGACGCCUGAUCUUUGAUGGUUUUGUAUCCUUGUACAGGGGGUGUUGCAGCACAGCACCAGGGCAAUGAGGGAAAGGUACUCUGUCUCCUGCUUUGGAUGUCUGUGAGUUAUUCUGCAUUUAGAGAGUGCCUGAGAUCCUUUGCUGCAUCUGUGGUUGAAGGACAAAGUGCAGUGAUGGAAACUGUUCUGAGAUGCAGGAUCCAGAGGUCAAUUAGUGAAUGAGCAGGGAUAAGAAAAUGGAGGUUGAAAAAGAGUCAAAGAUAUUUACAGCCUGUAUGGCCUUCCCUCUCCUGGUGCUUUAUUUUUAAUGGCUUGCUGCUUUUACCUCUCUUUGUUUAAUGAAUAUAUUGCUGAGUUAUUGGAAGCACAAACUGCAUCCAAAAGCAGGACACUCAGGGUUUAUUAUAUUCAUAUAACUCAAAACCAGCCAAAUUGAUUUUUUUUCCUUUUUUUUUUUUCUUUCCCCCUCCUCCUCCCCUACCUCAUUUUUAAACCUUGCAGCAGGCUCAGUGGUAGUGACAGGUGUGAGACUGACACCACUGGAGAGGAGAAGCUGUGUUUAGGUGCUGGGGAGAACACCCUCUUUUCCUCCCCUGCUGCUUUUUUCCCCUCCAGCCACCUCUCCCUGUGCUUGGUGCAGAGGCAAUCCUUGGUUUGCAGCUCCCCAGUGCUGCUGGAAGGGCUCUGGGAAACUGAGGCUGUCCCUCCCACUGUUCCCAGCUUGUCUUGGUGCCUGUGUGGUCACCUGGCCCUCUAUGACCAGAGAGUGGACACAGCAGGACAUCCCUGGUCACCACAGCACAGGGUGAACUUGCAGUGCAGGUCUCUGUUGGACCUGGAGCUGCUGUGGUGGCUGCAGGGAGUCAGGAGCUUGUGGGGAAAAAAACAUUUGAAAUGGUUUCUCUGGGUGGUGUUUUUUUAAAAAAAAACAUCUCUGUGAGUCUCCAGGUCAUCAGUCUGUCCAGGUAGCAUGUUCUGAAGUGGCCAGAAUUGGGUAUAUUCGGUGACUUCUGGCCUCUCUCGGGGGGGUUCUCCUGGCUGGAACAGUGAUGGACAUGGCAGCAAAGUGUGGGACAGUUUUUGGAGCCACAAGAGCUGCUGGACUCCGGGACUUUGACCCGCAGCCACCCCAUCCCAUCCCUCUGAUGGGAGUGCAGCACCCAUGGGCUCCAGGGCCAGCCCUGCCCUGUCCCCCGGAGGGAGAAGGGACAGCAGAGGUGGCCAGGGGCUGGGAACAUCUCUGCUCCUGGGGAGAAAUAAAGGAACCCACCCUCAGGACGGAGCAGCGAGAGGUUUGCAGCUCAGCCCUGGUUAAUGAGGGCAUUUUGAUCUACAAUUGUUGACUGCAGAAAGAGCCUCCCUGAUAAAGGGGGAAGGGAUGUCCUGGGGGAGAGGGUCGCUGAAUAUGCAUGGCCCCGGGUCUCUUUGUUUAGCUGAUAUCUGACUAUAUUUAUUCUUCUAGAUUACACAUUCUGACUGCGGAACAAAGGGCUGGCAGGAGCUGCUCUCUUGUGCUUAAUAAUUUGAGUGAAUUUACAUUUCAAUGCAGCCCUGUGCCACUUCCCACCCCCCGUGGAAAGAGCAGAAUUUCCCUGUUGCGGGGAGGGGGAAAAGCAACUCCCACCGCAGUGGCCAGGCUGGGAGAUUUAUUGCGGCUCCUCUCCGAAUUUAUUCCUCCCGAAUCCCGCUCGCGUGUGGGGAUGUUUUCCUCCCCACCCCAGCCCUGCUCAGCCAACUCUGCCUGCCCCACCUCCCUGAGCAUCCUCAGUAAUUAAGCAGCAGCGGCACAUAAAGUCCCUGCCUCGGCAGAAGUGUGAAAUCACAGCUACACCUAAAGCCGGACCGAAGCUUUCCACUCUGAGUGACACCCAGCGAGCUGCAAAGUGAUAAAAAGACAGAGUUGCCAAAACUCCCCGAACACGGUCUGGUUUCUACGCGACGUCCUUUUGGCUGUACUUUGGGAACUGCAAGUACAAAAACCCCAUUUGCUGACUCAGAGUUGGUGAUGGGGGCGUGGAGGUGGCAGGUUUUUCACUUGCUGACCCUUGGAUCCCUGCCUGCAGGGUGCUCUGACCUGCUUGGCUCAUCUCUUGCUCCUCAGCUGAAUUUUCCCUCUUGUGCAUCCCUGAGUUUAUCUCGGGGUAUGAUUUGGUGUCCCUGCACAGGACACAGGAAUGCUGCAUUGACUGCCACCCACCCCUUACUGAGUCCCAGUCCUGCAGUUUAAUCUUAGGAGAGCUGCAUAAUUUUCUCUUGCCUAUCUGAUAAUAACUUUGCAAAGACUUUAUAUGCUGAUAACCUCAGCAUGCUACACUCCAUUUGGGUCUUUCACCACCAGCUGCUCUGCAUUAGCCCAUUUUAAUGAACUUUGAUUAUAGACACAGCUCCUCAUUGCUAUUUUAGAGGACAUCUCUGCUUUUCUUGAGCUUCCUAGGAGCUGGGCUUUGGGGCCAUGAGCACAGGACCUCACUGUCUGGGAUUUGCACGUUGAGGUGUGGCUCAACCAAUACUUUUCUUUCACUUGCUCUUCUGCCUAAGUCCCACAUGGUGCAAAAUGAGACGGACCCUCGCUGCCCUUGGGGCUGAAGAAGCAGAACGUGAAGAAAGUGCAGCCUCAGAUGUACCUGAGCACAGCAGCAGCCUCUUCCAGAAGCCCAUUACACCUGAACCUGUGCUUUUGGGCAGUGCACGAGGUGAUGGACAAAAGGCAGCUGGAAGGAAGUACAAAGGGAUGCUUCUGCUGGUGUCCAGACUCCUCUGACUGCUGCCCUAACCAGACCCUUGCAGUGGGGUAGAGCUCGGUGUCACUGAUCCUUCACAAGCGUCAGAAGGACUGUGCCAAGGUCGUGUGAGUCUCUCUCCCUGCCUCAAGGAGGCUGUUUGAAAAUUGCUCUCAGAUCAGUGAGGACCAACUGGGAUGGCUGAGCUCCUCUGCAGUGCAUGUGACAGAUGUGUCAGCUCUGGGCUUACUCUCUCCAAAUGGUCCAUUUCUGUCUCAAAACACAGUGGCCAAAAGCAGAGCACCAGACUUAUGAUGAAAAUCAGCCUUUAAGCAGCAUUUUGAGACCUGCCCUAAUCAGAGUUUUGAGUGGCACCACUCCAAAGUGUGCUGGAACUGCCUGAUUUGGAGGGAAGAGAGCAGAGAUGGGAAAGAACAGGUACAUCCAAUUGAGGGCCUUGCAGCAGCCACCUCAGAUGAAAACCUUUCCCAAAACCAAGAGAAACAAAAAGCUUCCUCAAAGUGGAUGGAGAUGCUGCACAGGCUGCCCUGCCUGAGCAUCUCUGCCCUGCUCUGGAUUAUUUAACUGGGUUCUGCAAACACAAUUUCAAACAGCAAACAGCUAAGCAAGGGGAGCAAGACAUAACCUUUGUUUCUGCAAGACCUACCAGAAGCUGACAAUGUGGGUACGUGGGCAAUGGGGAAAACAGCUUAUGCUUUAAGCUUCAUGUGACCUCUGGAGCUGCUGGGCUUUGGAAGGUGAGAGUGAGACAAUCCUCACAAGCACUUGAUCCCUCUUGAAAUUAAGGGGCUUUCCUGGGUACACAGCUUUCCCCCUUCCCUCCCAGAAGUGUAUCUGAUUUUUGGGGGUGGAAAAAAAGAGGAUUGAUUCAAAUAAAAAUGUAUUUGUAUGAGAAAAAUUAUUUCCUUCCAUGAGUAAACACAUAGUUUGAGGCAAAUUUAUGGCUUUGGCCUGGUCAUUAAUAUCUGGUUGUCAAAAAGUAUUGGUUUGAACAAAAAUAUGUUGUAAUAAAAAUGCAUUGUUUUGAAGAAAUUUAUUGUCCCCAUGAAAACCUAUUCAAUUCAGAAAGAUAUGUUGAUUUCAAUGAAAAUCUAUUUGUUUUAAGAGACAGAGAGAAGGAAGUUGCACUCAACUGAGAACCAGGGGCUUCUCUCUGUACAGAUCUCCCUGCAGUCCCUUGGCUAUUAGGAUGGGAAAAGCUGGAAAAUCAACAACUGGGCAGCAAAGGAAACCUGUAGGUCUUUCCUCUGCUCAGUGACCAUCCUCCCAGCUGAAGAAAAGUGCCCCAGUUCCCCUAAGGUGACUUUUAAAGGUCCUUUCCAACCCAAAGGGAUCUAUGAUUUACUCGUGAGGAUCCCAGGGAGUGACUGCCAUGAGAACCCACCUACAUCUGGAAAGGUGCACAUCUUGCAGGUGACCUGGAGACCUUCAUCUUCUGCUUCCUGUCUCGAGCCACACAUGAGCAGCAAGAAUGUGUGUCAGUGAAUGUCUGAAGGGGAGAUGGCUGUGUCCACAGCGCUACCCAGAGCACUUCCCCUUUGGCUUGGUGGCACAAGAAAAGGGCCCCUUUUGGCUCAGGGCAGCUUUGUGGUGUGUCUUUGUGGCUCUCCCAGCCCUGCUCUGAGACGGGACCAAGGUUUGCUAUCCUGCCUAAGCCUCUUUCCCUGCCAGCAGGGACUGGUGAAAUUCACCCUGAGCUCCAAAUCCCUAAUGUUGCCUUAGCUGGGAUUAUGAGAGAAGCCACCGUGGUAUCACCUGAAAUCCACCUCCCGGUGCCUCCCGUUUAAAACAAUCAGCAGAUGUUUGCAGUGGGCUUUUUCUUUCAUUAUGCUCCAACUCUGCUAUUUAAUCAGCUUCUUCCUUCCUCUGUUUGUACAAGGUAUCGCUCGCCCAUAUUAAAGCGGGGGAAGGGAAGGUGCGAGAUGAAAAAAAAAAAAAAUUAAAAAAAAAUAGAAUUGCCUACCCAAGAAAUGUCACUGCCGCAGUGUUAUCCCCUCCCUGCCAACACACACACGGGUUCUGGUGUCAGUGGAAAGGUUGCCUCUGAUUAAUAUUAAUAAAGAAUUAGAGCUGUGUUUGUCAUGA